GGCUAUGACGACUUCCUGUUGGGUAGGCUCUUCCCUUUCUAGCGCCGAAGCACGAGGCUGCUAGGAUGUCUCUGCACGCAGCUCCGGUACCAUGUUCAUUUUUAAGAGGAUUUGCUCUGGGCUUGAACAUUAAACCUGGUCUGUCCUGAAAAAGUCAUGAGGUUUAUACUCCGCAUAAGAAGUCUGUCCUGAAAAAGUCAUGAGGUUUAUACUCCGCAUAAGAAGGUAAAUGGUUCUACUAGUGCAGACGAGUCUUGGAAAGGACAAUGAAAGGUUAAUAUAAAUGAAAAGUAGUAACACUGGAAGGCACAAACUAUCACCGCUUGCAUAUGGCUUUUACAAGGUCUUCAUUUCUCCAAGGAUAGUGGAAACUAACCAUGGCUAUCUGCCCUAUCUCUGCCAGGUAGCCUAAAAUGAGAUGUGGCCCAAAGAUGCCUGCUAAGUGCACUGUGCAAGAGAAGAGGUAAGGUAGUAAUGCUGAAAGGCGCAAACUAGCACCGCUCUCAUAUGGCCUUUGCAAAGUCAACACUCUUUGGUUGGAAGAGGAGCUAAGAACAGCUUCAAGAUGAACAGUGCUAAAUAUCUUUAUAGAAAAUGUUACAUUAUAUGAGUUAUAUCUUAAUAAACACUUUGUGUAUAUAGUCCA